GUUGAACGCUGGCGGCAUGCCUAACACAUGCAAGUCGAACGGUAACAGGAAGCAGCUUGCUGCUUCGCUUUCGCGUCGCGGACGUGUGUGUCAUGUCUGUGAACCUCCCUUAUGGCGGGGGAUACCUACUGGAAACGGUAGCUAAUACCGCAUAUCUUCUCAACCCCAUAGAUCGGUACCUUAGGGCCUCUUGCCUUCCGAUGUUCCCAGAUGGCAUUAGCUAGUAGGUGGGGUAACGGCUCACCAAGGCGACGAUCCCUAGCUGGUCUGAGAGGUUGACCAGCCACACUGGAACUGAGACACGGUCCAGACUCCUACGGGAGGCAGCAGUGGGGAAUAUUGCACAAUGGGCGAAAGCCUGACGGAGCAACGCCGCGUGUAUGAAGAAGGUCUUCGGGUUGUAAAGCACUUUUAGCAGGGAGGAAGGGAGGAGAGAGAAAAUAUGUACGUAUUGACGUUACCUGAAGAGAAAGCAACGGCUAACUACGUG
rnacentral:rRNA from 1 species